rnacentral:rRNA from 1 species
AGCGAACGCUGGCGGCAGGCCUAACACAUGCAAGUCGAACGAACCCUUCGGGGUUAGUGGCGGACGGGUGAGUAACACGUGGGAACGUGCCUUUAGGUUCGGAAUAACUCAGGGAAACUUGUGCUAAUACCGAAUGUGCCCUUCGGGGGAAAGAUUUAUCGCCCUUAGAGCGGCCCGCGUCUGAUUAGCUAGUUGGUGAGGUAAAGGCUCACCAAGGCUACGAUCAGUAGCUGGUCUGAGAGGAUGACCAGCCACAUUGGGACUGAGACACGGCCCAAACUCCUACAGGAGGCAGCAGUGGGGAAUCUUGCGCAAUGGGCGAAAGCCUGACGCAGCCAUGCCGCGUGGAUGAUGAAGGUCUUAGGAUUGUAAAAUCCUUUCACCGGUGAAGAUAAUGACUGUAGCCGGAGAAGAAGCCCCGGCUAACUUCGUGCCAGCCGCCGCCGUAAUAC